rnacentral:rRNA from 1 species
UGGGGAAUAUUGCGCAAUGGGGGAAACCCUGACGCAGCGACGCCGUGUGAGGGAAGAAGGCUUUCGGGUCGUAAACCUCUGUCGGGAGGGAAGAACCGAUUGGAGUCGAACAGGCUCCUUUCCUGACGGUACCUCCAAAGGAAGCACCGGCUAACUCCGUGCCAGCAGCCGCGGUAACACGGAGGGUGCAAGCGUUAAUCGGAAUCACUGGGCGUAAAGCGCACGUAGGCGGUCUUGUAAGUCAGACGUGAAAGCCCUCGGCUCAACCGGGGAACUGCGUUUGAUACUGCUUGACUUGAGUAUCGGAGAGGGUGGCGGAAUUCCAGGUGUAGGAGUGAAAUCCGUGGAUAUCUGGAGGAACACCGGCGGCGAAGGCGGCCACCUGGACGAAUACUGACGCUGAGGUGCGAAAGCGUGGGGAGCAAACA